GAUCGUUCAUAUGGCGUUAAUAGACUAACGAACACAUGCUCCACUGUGGCAGGAGCUGUGUGAGUCUGUGGCAGGAGGAGGAUGAGCAGGUGAUCACACUGGUCCCAGGCAGAAGGAGCAAUUCUCUGUUCUGCAGCUGAGGACAUGGUUAAAGUGGCACUCAUACACAGGAUCUGUGGACCUCUGCCGGUGCUGGCUCCACUCCUCUAUGUAAACACGCCAGUCCGCGGGCAGGUUGCCAGUCAGGUUGCAGACAUGGUCCUAGCGAGGAGGAAGGGUGUUUUGUGUUUCAGUGUGAGGACAAAGCCUGGGUGUGAUGGGCUGUUGAAAAGGGGACGAGAUGAGGGGCAUCAUUAGGGACUGGGAACAGCCAAGCCGCUCCUCUGUUAAACCUGCAUAUGGUCUGCGCUUAAACAGAGAACAGAGGAGAAUCAAGAAGCACUUGACUGCAGCUGAAACAGCUUUCUGUAAACAUCAAAGCCUAAAGGGCUGCAGCUAAGCUCAUUAUACAAAUGAGCUUUGAGGCCUGCUGCACACAAGCAGCACAUUUCUGAAAGAUGAUCCCAGAAGUUAAAAGUACAAAGUCUAAAGUGUGUCCCAACAUACAGUCGGCUCUCUGGGAGCGCAGCAUCUGCUAGGGAUGUUGUUGGAUAGAACACAGUGACACAUGCAGCCAUUGUGGUCAGGAAGUCUCAGCUGGCAAAAACGGAAAUGGCUGCUAGUGAAUGGAAAAAGGAAGGGCUCAUAACGACGAGUCAAGCACAAAUACAGUAUGACGACAAAAUGACAUUUCAGUCCAAAGUAACUGGAUAACUCCCAGCCCCACAAAUGCAAACAAGUCAUUA